CUGAAGAACUGUGAGAUCAUGACCUGAGCCAAAAUCAAGACUUGGACGCCCAAACAACUGAGCCACCCAGGUGCCCUUCGUGUCAUAUCUAAAAAGUCAUCACCAGUGGAAGUCAUCUAGAUUGUCUCAUAUGUUAUCUUUUAGGAGUUUUAUAGUUUUGUGUUUUACAUUUAGGGCUGUGAUCCAUUCUGAGUUAAUUUUUUAUUUUGUGAAGAAUGUAAAGUCUGUGUUUAGAUUUUUAGGUUUGUUGUUUUUGUUUGUUUGUUUUGCUCUGGAUGUCUAGUUCUGGCACCAUUUGUUGAAAAGUUUAUCUUUGCUCCAUUGUAUUGCUUUUGCUUUCUUUUUGGUCAAGGAUCACUUGACUAAUUUAUGUGUGUCUAUUUUUGAGCUCUCUAUUCUGUUUCAUUGAUUUAUUUGUCUGUUCUUUCACCAAUACUACACUGUUGUAAUUACAGUAUCUUUAUAGUCAGUCUUGAAGUUAGGUAGUGUCAGUCCUUGUUCUUAACAUUGUGUUGGUUAUUCUGGGUCUUUUGCCUCUAUAUAAAGUUUAGAAUCAGUUUAUCAAUAUUCACAAAAUAACUUGCUGGGAAUUUGAUUGGGAUUGUAUUGAAUCUUUAGGGAAAAAAUGAUAUCUUGACACAUUGAGUUUUCUUAUCCAUGAACAUGGAAUAUCCAUAUAUUUAGUUCUUUGAUUUUUUUUUAUUAGAGUUUUGUAGUUUUCCUCAUAGUUUCUUCAUAUGGACUUUGUACAUACAUACUUUUUAGUAUGAAUACUUUGUAGUAUGUAGACUGAAGUCUUUCAUUUUUUUGGCAUGCUAAUGUAAAGGUAUUAUGUUUUUAAUAUUAAAUUCCAGUUCAUUGUUGGUAUAUGGAAAAGUGAUGGACUUUUUAAUAUUAUCCUUGUAUGCUAUAACCUUGUAAUAGUAGCUUAUUUCACUGAAGAGAUUUGUGGUCAAUUCUUUUGUAUUUCUACAUAGACAUGUCAUUUGAAAACAGAGUUUUAUUUUUAUUUUUUCCUUCUGAAUCAGUAUACCUUUUAUUUUCUUUUCUUGUCUUAUUGCAUUACUAGGACUUCCAAUUUGAUGUUGAAAAGGAGUGGUGAGACGGGACCUUCUUGCCUUGUUCCUGACCUUAUUGGGAGAGCUUCUAGUUACCUGUAGUAUUUUUUGUUUGUUUUUUGUUUGUUUGGUAGAUAGUGUUUAUUAAGUGGAGGAUUCCCUUGUAUUCCUAGCUUAUGGAAAGUUUUUAUCAUGAAUGGGAGUUGGGUUUGCUCAAUUGCUUUUUCUUUAUCUACUGAUAUGAUCAUGUGAUUUUUCUUUAGGUUGUUGAUGUGGUAAAUUACAUUAAUUAAUUCUUAAGUGUUGAACUAGCUUUGUAUACCUCAGAUAAAUCCCACUUGGUUGUGGUAUAUAGUUUUUUUUUUUUUAACACAUUGUUGGAUUUGAUUUGUUAAUACUUUGUUGAGAAUUUUUACAUCUGUGUUCAUGAGAUAUAUUGGUUUGUAGUUUUCUUGUCCGUAGUUUUCAGUCUUCGUCUGGUUUUGAUAUUAGAGUGAUGCUGGCCUCAUAGAAUGACUUAGGAUGUAAUUUCUCUGCUUCUAUCUUCUGAAAGAGAUUACAGAGAAUUAGUAUAAUUUCUUUCUUAAAUGUUUGGUAGAAUUUACCAGUGAACCUCUUUGUGCUUGGUGCUGUUUUUGAAAGUUAUUAUUUAUUGAUUCAUUUUUUUUUUAGUAGAUAUAGGCCUGUUCAGAUUGUCUAUUUUUUUGUGUGUGAGUUUUGACAGAUUGUGUCUUUCAAGGAGUUUCAUUUCCUUGAAUUUGCCAUUUCACCUAGGUUAUCAAAUUUGUGGGCGUAGAGCUAUACAUAGGUAUUCCUUUAUUAUCCUUGUAACAUCCAUGGUGAUGUCCAUCCAUAGUGAUGUUCCCUCUUUCAUUUCUGACUUUAGUCAUUUGUGUCCUCCCUUUUUCUUAGUUAGCCUGGUUACAGACUUAAUGUCUUUUUCAAAGAACCAGCUCUGGUUUUAUUGAUAUUUUCUGUUGGUUUCCUGUUUCACUUUCACUGAUUCCUGCUCUGAUGUUUGUCUUUUUUUGCUUGCUUAACUUUUUCUUUUUUUACUAUUUUCCUCUGGAGAAGCUUAUUGAUUUCAGAUGUCUUUUCUAAUAUAUGCAUUCAAUGCUGUAAGUUUCCCUGUAAGCACUGAUUUUGCUGCAUCACACAAAUUUUGAUGUUUUUAUUUUCAUUUAGUUCAAAAUAUUUAAAAUUUCUCUUGAGAUUUCUUUUUUGACCUAUAUGUUAUUUCAAAUUGUGUGGUUUAAUUCCCAUGUAUUUUGUGAUUUUCUAGUUACCAUUCCGUUAUUGAUUUCUAAUCUAAUUCCGUUGUAGUCUGACAGACAUUGUAUGCUUUCUAUUCACUUAAACUUGUUAAAGUGUGUUUUAGGGCCUAGAAUGUGAUAUAUCUGGGUGAUUGUUCUAUGUGAACUUUGGAAGAAAAGUAUUCUUCUGUUGUUGUAUGAAGUAAUGUACAGCUGUUAUGGUCUGAAUGUUUGUGUUGUCCUGAAUUCAUAUGUUGAAAUCCUAACCUCCAAAGGUGAUGAAAUCUUGAUACCAAUACCCUGAUACCCAAAGGUAUUAGUAGGUGGGGCCUCUGGGAGAUGAGUAGGUUGUGAGAGUGGAACCCUCAUGAAUGGAAUUCAUAUUCUCAUAAAGGAGAUCCCAUAGAACUCCCCAUACCUUCUGCUAUAUGAAGACAUACUGAGGACUCUGCUAUGAGCUAGGGAGUGGGUUCUCAUAAAAAUGUGACCAUGCUGUUACCUUGAUCUUAGACUUCCUAGCCUCCAGGCAUGUGAGGAAUACAUUUCUGUCAUUUUUAAGGUGAAUUCUACCAAGCAUUCUCAAACUAUUCCAAAAUAUAGAAGAGAAAGGAAAACUCCCAAAUUCAUUCUUUGGUUCCUGAUACAAAAAUCUGACAAAGAUACUACAAGAAAAGAGAACUACAGGUGGAGUAACAGAGACCAGAUUUUUUCUCCUAACUGUAACAUCCAUAAAAAACAGAUGAAACAUUUGAAAUAAUGGAUUUCAGGACAUUGGACAUCAGAUCCAUCAGGGGAAUCACUAUCUAUGGGAGCUAGAGCCUUACAAAAUGUAUUUCUUGAAUA